ensembl:snRNA U6 U6 spliceosomal RNA
GCGCUCGCUUCGCAGCACGUCUACUAAAGCUGGAACGAUAAGAGAUCAGCAUGGCCCCUGCGCAGGGAUGACAUGCAAAUCCGUGACGUGUUCCAUAUUUAA